AAAUAAAAAAAAAUCUCGUCUGAUCUCGGAAGCUAAGCAGGGUCGGGCCUGGUUAGUACUUCGAUGGGAGGCUGCCUGGGAAUAACAGGUGCUGUAAGUU
rnacentral:rRNA from 1 species